rnacentral:rRNA from 1 species
UACGUAGGGUGCGAGCGUUGUCCGGAAUUAUUGGGCGUAAAGAGCUCGUAGGCGGUGUGUCGCGUCGGCCGUGAAAACCUGGGGCUCAACUCUGGGCGUGCGGUCGAUACGGGCAUCACUUGAGUUCGGCAGGGGAGACUGGGAUUCCUGGUGUAGCGGUGAAAUGCGCAGAUAUCAGGGGGAACACCGGUGGCGAAGGCGGGUCUCUGGGCCGAUACUGACGCUGAGGAGCGAAAGCAUGGGUAGCGAACAGG